ACACCAUUCCUUGUUCCCUCCAUCAUUUCAGAUUUCAUGCAUCAUUACAUUGAAUCAUUGCACUCAAUCGCUACACCAUUCCUUGUUCCCUCUAUUAUUUCAGAUUCAUGCAUCAUUACAUUGAAUCAUUGCACUCAAUUGCUACACCACUCCAUGUUCCCCUCCAUUGCCAUGCACUUCAUCUAUAAAAGGAAGUGUGUGUAACAUAAAUUGAGUUCAUACUUUGUCAAAUCAUUCACUCCCAUUUCAACAUAACCUUCAUCCAAACACAUCCAUUCAUCUUCACAUCCAUUCCUCCAUACAAACAAACUUCAAACUCACCAACCUUAUGCCGUAGCAAAGGAAGGGAAGGAAAGUGCUUGGACGUGCUUGAUGUCCAACUUGGAUCGUUGGAGCGUUUAGGUGUUUUCUUUCUUUUGUUUCUAAUGUUUAAAUUCAU
rnacentral:lncRNA from 1 species